rnacentral:rRNA from 1 species
CCAGAGGACGCAUGUUCUGUGGUGGAAAGUUUUUCGAUCGGGGAUGGGCUCGCGGCCUAUCAGCUUGUUGGUGGGGUAAUGGCCUACCAAGGCGACGACGGGUAGCCGGCCUGAGAGGGCGACCGGCCACACUGGGACUGAGACACGGCCCAGACUCCUACGGGAGGCAGCAGUGGGGAAUAUUGCACAAUGGGGGAAACCCUGAUGCAGCGACGCAGCGUGCGGGAUGACGGCCUUCGGGUUGUAAACCGCUUUCAGCAGGGAAGAAGCGAAAGUGACGGUACCUGCAGAAGAAGUACCGGCUAACUACGUGCCAGCAGCCGCGGUAAUACGUAGGGUACGAGCGUUGUCCGGAAUUAUUGGGCGUAAAGAGCUCGUAGGUGGUUGGUCACGUCUGCUGUGGAAACGCAACGCUUAACGUUGCGCGGGCAGUGGGUACGGGCUGACUAGAGUGCAGUAGGGGAGUCUGGAAUUCCUGGUGUAGCGGUGAAAUGCGCAGAUAUCAGGAGGAACACCGGUGGCGAAGGCGGGACUCUGGGCUGUAACUGACACUGAGGAGCGAAAGCAUGGGGAGCGAACAGGAUUAGAUACCCUGGUAGUCCAUGCCGUAAACGUUGGGCA